rnacentral:rRNA from 1 species
GGCUCAGGACGAACGCUGGCGGCGUGCUUAACACAUGCAAGUCGAACGGGAAACCAUUUAUUGAAGCUUCGGCAGAUUUAGCUGGUUUCUAGUGGCGGACGGGUGAGUAACGCGUGGGUAACCUGCCUUAUACAGGGGGAUAACAGUCAGAAAUGACUGCUAAUACCGCAUAAGCGCACAGGACCGCAUGGUCCGGUGUGAAAAACUCCGGUGGUAUAAGAUGGACCCGCGUUGGAUUAGCUUGUUGGUGGGGUAACGGCUCACCAAGGCGACGAUCCAUAGCCGGCCUGAGAGGGUGAACGGCCACAUUGGGACUGAGACACGGCCCAGACUCCUACGGGAGGCAGCAGUAGG